AGAGUUUGAUCCUGGCUCAGAUUGAACGCUGGCGGCAUGCCUUACACAUGCAAGUCGAACGGCAGCGCGGGGCAACCUGGCGGCGAGUGGCGAACGGGUGAGUAAUAUAUCGGAACGUACCCUGGAGUGGGGGAUAACGUAGCGAAAGUUACGCUAAUACCGCAUACGAUCUAAGGAUGAAAGUGGGGGAUUCGCAAGAACCUCAUGCUCCUGGAGCGGCCGAUAUCUGAUUAGCUAGUUGGUGGGGUAAAGGCUCACCAAGGCGACGAUCCGUAGCUGGUCUGAGAGGAUGAUCAGCCACACUGGGACUGAGACACGGCCCAGACUCCUACGGGAGGCAGCAGUGGGGAAUUUUGGACAAUGGGGGCAACCCUGNAUCCAGCCAUGCCGCGUGAGUGAAGAAGGCCUUCGGGUUGUAAAGCUCUUUCGGACGGGACGAAAUGGUUACAGUGAAUAACUGUGAUUGAUGACGGUACCGUAAUAAGAAGCACCGGCUAACUACGUGCCAGCAGCCGCGGUAAUACGUAGGGUGCGAGCGUUAAUCGGAAUUACUGGGCGUAAAGCGUGCGCAGGCGGUUCGCCAAGUCAGGUGUGAAAUCCCCGGGCUUAACCUGGGAAUUGCGCUUGAAACUAGCGGGCUUGAGUGCGGCAGAGGGGGGUGGAAUUCCACGUGUAGCANUGAAAUGCGUANAGAUGUGGAGGAACACCGAUGGC
rnacentral:rRNA from 1 species